rnacentral:lncRNA from 1 species
AUGUGCUAGGUUGUGCCUAAGUUGCCACUAACCAAGUGCCUUGUUUCUAGCACUGUCCAUCACAAAACACUUCAGAAGGAGAUGUGAAAGGCCUCAGAAAAAUGGAAGGGAAGUGAUGCUGCCCUUCCUUCCCUCGGUGCCUACAGCUGGCUCGUGUUGUCGCACUCGUAGCUGAUGCCCCUCGGCCGAUCAUGCAUUGCUGAUCACCAUUCAAGAGUCGCUGUCCAUUAUGAAGAGCUCCUGAGAAACCCUGCUCUGCCCUCCGCUAAUCUCACUCCUCCGAGCUGUGUGCCCCACGGUGGGACGGGGCGGUCCGCUCGGUCCGGUGCUGCCCGGCUGCGGGUGAGCGGUGCUCGGACGCGCCUCGUCCUCGGAGAUGGUGUCAGCUCUCCGGGUUUAACGUUUUGAUAAGCAAAAUGGGGCGAAGAAAGGAAAAUUCCCGAGUAUACAGCUGUGUUUGGAAAUACACUGACUGGUGCCGUUUCCUUCUGACCGCCGUGCGACUGCUUUAUUUCAACAUACAGCCGUGCUUAUUUGUUGCAUUUUAUAGACACCUUCCUAUUGCCUGCGGUUAUUUUUGCUAUCGUGGAAUCGGAUCUCAAGAAACUUAAAUUGACGGGGUUACUUGUUAAUUCUCUGAGUUGAGUAUUUCUGUGCACGUUUAUGACAGUGCCAGUAGCUGUUAUUCUGAAAAGCUGUGACUCAGUGGAGUCAGAGUGUUUUGUUCUGAUGUCUUUAAUAGUAAUAUUUCACGAGGCUUUCCUAAGUCAACCAGAAAUGUUUUGUUUCUGGCUACCUUUGGCUAUUAUCACUUCUUGUGAUGCCAUCCUCUAAACCUCGCUUUGUUUUAGCGCUCUAACUGCAUUCUUAAUUGGGAACUAUUCCCUGCAGUUCCGUGUAGUGUCUGCAGGGCUAAGGGGGCUCGGUCCGUGUUAGAAGUAAAGACUCAUCAUCUUUUGAAAGGAGAAUAUCAAAUGACAUAAUUGAUAUCUUGGUAUUGAUGCAUUAAGUGCAAAAAUGACUUAGGUCAAUAAGUGUGGGUUCAGAACUGUAAUGCUCUCAAAGAGUUCCUCCUUUUGCAUAGAAUGACUCGAAAUGCCAUUUCUAUCAGUCAGUGAAAGCUUAGUUUAAUUGGCCCUAGUCAAGAUGCUGUAUUGUUCUGAGUAAUCUGAAUUAAACAUUGGUUUGACUACAUACAUGGCUUUAUCUUCCUUGAAGACAUAGGGUGCUCAGAGUCAGACAGUAACACCAGCUUUGAAGUUAAGUUAUUCAUAGCUCAGGGAUUGAUUCUGACAUUAGCACUGUUUCCCUAUACUUUUUCCUGCAAAUGCAUCGCACCAACCCAUUCUUUCAUUUCCUG